UUGCUCAGUAAUACGUGGACAACCUGCCCUGAGGACUGGAAUAAUCCCGGGAAACUGGGGGUAAUUCCAGAUAUGUCAGAACUCCUGGAAUGGGUUCUGGCAGAAAGGCUCCGGCGCCUCAGGAUGGGUCUGCGGCCUAUCAGGGUAGUAGUGGGUGUAACGUACCUACUAGCCUACGACGGGUACGGGUUGUGAGAGCAAGAGCCCGGAGAUGGAUUCUGAGACAUGAAUCCAGGCCCUACGGGGUGCAGCAGGCGCGAAAACUUUACAAUGCGGGCAACCGCGAUAAGGGGACCUCGAGUGCUGGGUUACAAACCUGGCUGUUGGGCUGCCUAAAAAGCAGUCUAUAGCAAGGGCCGGGCAAGACCGGUGCCAGCCGCCGCGGUAACACCGGCGGCUCGAGUGGUAACCGCUGUUAUUGGGUCUAAAGGGUCUGUAGCCUGCCGGCUAAGUCUCUUGGGAAAUCUGGCAUCUCAAGUGUCAGGCUGCCAGGGGAUACUGGUCAGCUUGGGACCGGGAGAGGUGAGAGGUACCUCAGGGGUAGGGGUGAAAUCUUGUAAUCCUUGAGGGACCACCAGUGGCGAAGGCGUCUCACCAGAACGGAUCCAACGGCAAGGGACGAAAGCUAGGGGCACGAACCGGAUUAGAUACCCGGGUAGUCCUAGCCGUAAACGAUACUCGCUAGGUGUCGGCCACGGUGCGACCGUGGUCGGUGCCGUAGGGAAGCCGUGAAGCGAGCCACCUGGGAAGUACGGCCGCAAGGCUGAAACUUAAAGGAAUUGGCGGGGGA
rnacentral:rRNA from 1 species